UAGAAGAAUAUACAGAGAAAACCGCUUCCACGGUGGGUUGCGGCGGUGUUUCAUGGCGGUGGUUCUGCCGCCGGUGAUAGCGAUAGUUUGUCGAAGAAGACGCCAUUGCAUCCGACGGUCCGGCGCGACAGUGCACAACGGAGGUUCACACAUAGAAAACUGCUUAUUGGGCUUCUAAAAAAUGUCGGUUACCUCCACACUAAUGUCGGAGACAUCAAGUGCGAAAUCGUGCGUGAUGAAGUGCUUAACGCAUCAGAGGUUAGUUAUAUAGGGCUUAUCGGAUGGCGGAUGACAGUGGUAAAGAGCUAUUGGUUAUACCCGGCGACUAGGAUUCCAUCGUCUUCCUGUUAGUAUUUGUACCUUUUUCAAGUCAACGUACUGCGGCUAUGGUAUGUAUCUAGCCAUCAUUGGUGAUAGGGGUCGGAAACGACGGUGACAAACACUAAAAUGUGAUUGUGGAUGGAGUGUAGUCGCCUAGAACGAUUGUUGGCAGACAUGUUUAUUUCUUUUACUGAUGGGUUUAUCAUAACUAAAGUGUAGCUGGCUUGACAUAUAUAUAGUCGUUGUAUGCUGAAAGAAUUAGGGCUUUUGAAAUCUGAAUUUGAUUGACCCACUUCUUUCUUUU
rnacentral:lncRNA from 1 species